ACUCCUACGGGAGGCAGCAGUGAGGAAUUUUGCGCAAUGGCCGCAAGGCUGACGCAGCAACGCCGCGUGGGUGAUGAAGGCCUUCGGGUCGUAAAGCCCUGUCAGGUGGGAAGAAAGGCCUUAAGGAGAAAGACUUGAGGUUUGACGGUACCACCAGAGGAAGCACCGGCUAACUCCGUGCCAGCAGCCGCGGUAAUACGGAGGGUGCGAGCGUUAUUCGGAAUUACUGGGCGUAAAGCGCGUGUAGGCGGGGGGACAAGUCUGAUGUGAAAGCCCUGGGCUUAACCUGGGAAGCGCAUUGGAAACUGUUUUUCUUGAGUACUGGAGAGGAAGGGGGAAUUCCCGGUGUAGAGGUGAAAUUCGUAGAGAUCGGGAGGAAUACCAGUGGCGUAGGCGCCCUUCUGGACGGUAACUGACGCUGAGACGCGAAAGCGUGGGGAGCAAACAGGAUUAGAUACCCUGGUAGUC
rnacentral:rRNA from 1 species